AUUGAACGCUAGCGGGAGGCCUAACACAUGCAAGCCGAGCGGUAGAGAUUCUUCGGAAUCUUGAGAGCGGCGCACGGGUGCGGAACACGUGUGCAACCUGCCUUUAUCUGGGGGAUAGCCUUUCGAAAGGAAGAUUAAUACCCCAUAAUAUAUUGAAUGGCAUCAUUUGAUAUUGAAAACUCCGGUGGAUAGAGAUGGGCACGCGCAGGAUUAGAUAGUUGGUGAGGUAACGGCUCACCAAGUCGACGAUCCUUAGGGGGCCUGAGAGGGUGAUCCCCCACACUGGUACUGAGACACGGACCAGACUCCUACGGGAGGCAGCAGUGAGGAAUAUUGGACAAUGGGUGAGAGCCUGAUCCAGCCAUCCCGCGCGAAGGAUGACGGCCCUAUGGGUUGUAAACUUCUUUUGUAUAGGGAUAAACCUACUCUCGUGAGAGUAGCUGAAGGUACUAUACGAAUAAGCACCGGCUAACUCCGUGCCAGCAGCCGCCGUAACAC
rnacentral:rRNA from 1 species